UACGGAGGGUGCGAGCGUUAAUCGGAAUUACUGGGCGUAAAGCGCGCGCAGGCGGCCUUUUAAGUUGGAUGUGAAAGCCUAUGGCUCAACCAUAGAACUGCAUCCAAAACUAUCAGGCUAGAGUGUGGGAGAGGAAGAUGGAAUUAGUUGUGUAGGGGUAAAAUCCGUAGAGAUAACUAGGAAUACCAAAAGCGAAGGCAAUCUUCUGGAACAUUACUGACGCUGAGGCGCGAAAGCGUGGGGAGCAAACAGG
rnacentral:rRNA from 1 species